GGUUCCGUAGUGUAGUAGAUAUCACGUUCGCUUCACACGCGAAAGAUCUUCGGUUCAAUCCGGGGACGGAACCA